GACGAACGCUGGCGGCGUGCUUAACACAUGCAAGUCGAACGGAGAGGCCCUGCUUUUGUGGGGUGCUCGAGUGGCGAACGGGUGAGUAACACGUGAGUAACCUGCCCUUGACUUUGGGAUAACUUCAGGAAACUGGGGCUAAUACCGGAUAGGAGCUCCUGCUGCAUGGUGGGGGUUGGAAAGUUUCGGCGGUUGGGGAUGGACUCGCGGCUUAUCAGCUUGUUGGUGGGGUAGUGGCUUACCAAGGCUUUGACGGGUAGCCGGCCUGAGAGGGUGACCGGCCACAUUGGGACUGAGAUACGGCCCAGACUCCUACGGGAGGCAGCAGUGGGGAAUAUUGCACAAUGGGCGGAAGCCUGAUGCAGCAACGCCGCGUGCGGGAUGACGGCCUUCGGGUUGUAAACCGCUUUCGCCUGUGACGAGGCGUGAGUGACGGUAAUGGGUAAAGAAGCACCGGCUAACUACGUG
rnacentral:rRNA from 1 species